ensembl:lncRNA
AUGAAAUCUCCCUGCAGUGUGAACAGCUGAACUUAAUAUAGAGGAAAUUUCUCAAAGAAGUGCCCUGGUGCCUAGCAAAUGUGCCUGUCAAAAAGGGUUGCUCCUUUCUGGGUAUUUGUUUUAGCAAGUCCCAGCCUACAGGAUUACACAGAGUGGCUGAGGAUAGAUUUCUGCUUUAAGCAGGUUUUCAUUUUGUAGCUUUGAAAAUUACACUUUUCAUUAGCAUAAAUGUGACAGCAGAUUAAAGAAUGAAAUUCUAUUUAACAAAAAGAACUUCAAGCUAAUAAUUCUUCAGAUAACCAAGAUACGAAGUUCUGAAGAUCAGCACAAUUUCUUCUAACAGGGUCUCCAUGCAAAGAACAGAAGUCACACUGUGCCUGCCAAAGUCCAGAAGCUUUCCUGCACUGUCAGGCACAUACCAUGUCAAGCAUCCAAGCAGUUGGAGUUGAAAGAAGAAAGAGGGGAGAAGGAACGAAUGACAAGCAGGUCCCAGGACUCGUCACUAGAAAGGUAUCUGGCCCCAGCACACGACAUGCUACAGAAGAAAAUCCUGCCAUAGCAUCCUCCUCACAGCACCAACAAGGAUGCCCAAAUCUCCUGAGACACAAAGCACACAUCAUAUGGCCAAGAGCCACAGCACACCCCCACACACCUUGGACAGCUGACAGCUGAGGCAGAUCCAGAAGUGGUGAAGAUGAUUCACAAAAUGGAAGACUGACAUUCACAACUCUCCAGGCUCCUGCUCCAUGGCAGGAGGGACCCAAGCUAACUGCAGCUGGCCAGCACAACCUGGGGGCAAUUUCAGCACGCUCAUCUGGUCUGCCUGGUCCACACCCAGAGAAACAGAUUUUUCAGCAGCCCCCACUACCACAGGCUCUUUUGAGGGGCUACAUUUGGACUGUUCAAAGCUAUAAAAGAUUCAGCAACCAGCAAGUCUGCAUGUGUUGUAAAUGAGCUGCUUGUCCUUCUGGUUUAAUUUUCUUUAGAGCUGAAGGAAAUGGGUCCAGAUGACAUCAACCCUGUGUAGAAGAUGGCUCUCGGAAACAUCUAUAUGUACAUUCAGAAGAGAUUUAGAUUGUUUUCCCAUAUAUAAUCCACCAUCCCUGACACCUUCAUGUGGUAAGUGAAGUCUGAACAACCAGGAUCUGAGCAUACCAAAGCAAAGACAUCCCUGCAUUAACAGCCCACUACUGGGUGCAUCUCUGAACACGCAACAGCCCCAAAAGCUGAGAGUUUCCUUCACACAGAGAGGAGUGGUUCCCACUCUGGGUAGCUGUGUUGUCCUCCUGCAAUGUACCUUCACACGCGAAUGCUCCGCU